CCUGCCCAUGGCAGGAGGCUGGAACUGGAUGAUCUCUAAUGUCCCUUCCAACUCAAAACAUUUUAAGAUUCUAUGAUUAGGAAUAUACUGCAGGGAUCAAGGCUCAUACUUUGGGAAUAUAGUCGACUUUGCAGAGGUUUAAGAUGUGAUUCUUUCCACCCAAGUUGUUCACUUUGUUGCUGUUUGAAUUGGAAAUAAAUUGAACAGUUAAUAAGUCUGUGCCUGUAACUAUGGAGUUGAACUUUUUAGUCUCUCCAGCUGAAAGUAAUGCUGAAUUUGUCUUAGCUUCAAAACACCUUGACCUAUGCAUAUUUGAAAGCUACUUCAGGCUUACAAAGAAGCUGUGUUUGAGAAAACUUUAUGCCCUAUGUGACAUGUUCUGUAUUUCUCCGUAGUGAUUCUUUGGGGUUUUUUUGGGUUUUUUUUUGUUUUUUUUAAUGUUUUAUUUCCCUCGGGAGUAAAUUACCAUGGUGGUGGGCAUGAGACAGAAAUGGGUUGAGUGACAUCUAGUGGUUAGGAAUGAAAAUGUGUAGGAUCAAGUGUUUUUCCUGCAGGACAAUGAAAAGUAAAGCAAUUCCUAAAAAUGGACUGGGAUUAACUUAGAAUCUAUAAAACCUGAAAUUUAGAGAACAUUUCCAAUAAAUGCAACUUCUACUGUCUGUCUCUGUUAGCCACAACUUUCCUGAAUGAUGUCUGAUGCCAAGAAAAGACUUUGAUAUCUGGUGCCAGGGUCGGGUUACUUUCAGCCCAUUCUAGUGUCUUCUCAGGUCUCUUUUCCAUUUCAUUACUUGUUUGGUUUUAGGAAUAUUUUUACAUGACUUUCCUUUGCCACAACCAGAAUUACUUUAGGAUCAUACAGUUUUCUGAUUAUUAAAUUUAUUUUAGGCCAUUGGAGAGAGGUGAUCUCAUUAAUAGUACAGUUGUGAGAAACUGAUCUUGGUAAAGAUCUACUAUUAUGUACUGCUGAGAACCCAAUUGUCUUAUUUGUUACUCCCAGUUUUAGAAGAGUUGACACUUCCACUGUUCACUUCCACUGGGAAGGAUUCUACUUCAGCUCUCUGCUAUCUCAGACAACCUUGUCAAAUCAACUCUGUCUAAGGAUAGAGUGGAUUAUACCUGUAUGAUGCCUGGUGGAGGAAACAGAUGGCUUUAAUAAGUUAUUUCCUCUUGUAAUUUCCAAUUAUUUAUUUUCUAGGCAACUGGACCAGUGUAACUCAUCUUGCUAUCAAAUAAAUACUUAUGAACAAAUUCCAGCUGGCCAGUUGCCAUUGAAAUGGGAGCUAGACAAAAUCUCUAUCACUGUAGGGCAGUGCUUGUCUCCUUGUGUUAUACAAUACUUUGCUUUCCAGUUAUAUUUGGAAUGCUGAGAAAUGAGCUAGUGUAUGGUCAUAUUUUUUUUAGAUUUCGAUGAUGAAAAUGUUGUGCCUUACUACUUGUAUUGCAGGCUUCAGAGAAAAUGGAAACAGAUUUUUCCUCAAACUUGAGAAAGGAGUGGGCUCCACUAAAAUUGUAUCCAUCUUUCUUAUGGCUUCCUGGGAAGUCACAAGCAUAUUCAGAAAUCCACCCACCCAUCCACUGUAGUAUGAAGCUGGCAAUUGUUUUUUCCAGUGCUGAGGUAUGAGCUACAAAGCUGAUUCUGGUGAAAAAAUAGACCAUGAUCUCGUGGUGAUUGAUCAAGGCAGGUGAUUUUGAACUUGGUUUUAAUCUAUUAUUUAAACAAUAUGCUAAAUAAAAAAAAAAAACACUUGAAGAACUUUACUUUUGUUUUACCUUUAUAGUUCUUAGUGGUUUUUUAAAAUAAAAAUUAUAUUCACUGUAGACAAGUACAUUUAUAGCUUUUACUGUGACUUUCACAGGCCUGUUGACAUCACUUCUUGAGCCACUGCACAUAGGAGUACAGUUCACAUGGUACUACCUAACAGCUCUGCUUUUUCCCAGAAGUGUCAGAUCUCCUGUGUGUAUGUUGUAAAGGCCUCUUCUGUGUGGGUGUGAAGGAUUCCACAGGUAUUUAUCUAUGGAGGUAGAAAGGGACACCAGAAGAGAGUGAAUCAAAGGGGGCAAAAGAGCGUGCUGAGAGGUCAUGUCUGAAAGUCUCUCAAAACCUGAUUAGCUCUAGAGUCAGUAAUGCUGUUGAAUCCACAAGCAUGUGUCCGGGUAUAUUAACAUGUGAGGCAGACAAAUUUGUUGAAGGCCACCAGGCAUCCAGGAAACAUCAGGAUCAACAGUGGGAUGCCUGACUCACUUUGGCACUGAGGCAGUAGUGGCUCCUCUCUGCAGAAAGCAACUACAGGUUCAAUACCAGCUGAGACAAGGGACCACUGGAAACACUUUCUGAACCCCUGGUAGCCCUUGUAGUAUCAGUACAAUUUUCUGCUUCUGAUGGAAUGGUUUAUGUUGGCCUUCCAGCUGUUGCUCCAGUCUGGGAACUACCAGUUAAUGCGUUUUUGUGAGCUUUUUGAAGGGAAUGUAUUGCAUGUAGUUAUCUGUUAUUGAAGUAAACAGCUUGAUUUUAUUAUUAACAGCUUUAUUUAAAAAAAAAAAAAGAGCGUCCUUGUAAAUAUGGGUUGCUGGGUUGUGAUGUUUGUCUUGCUUCAACUUGAUAUUUUCAACAUAUGCACUGAGUAAUCCAGGCACACAGAUCAAUCUGCCUAAGUUCCUCAAUGAUUUCUGGCAGGUAAUAGAAUCAGAACAAGCCUGGAGGACGAGGCAAGGUACUUCAGCUGACACAUACAGGGUCUGUAUGUCAUGGAUGGGGCCUUCCUGUAAUUCUGUUCAUAUACAUUUGUAAAACUAUUAUACAGACUUAUCUAGACUGGUCAGAUUAUUUUUCUGGGUGGCACAUUUCUUAGGCACUAAGAUGGCGGGGGGGGGUUGGUGGGUUUCUUUGGUUUGUUUGUGGGUUUUUUAGGUUUUUUGUUGUUUUGUUUUAAUUUGGCAAGCUGGAUUUUGGAUAAAAACUAUAAUUUAUUAAAAGUUGGCAAUAAAGUAUUAAAAUUUUAUUAAAGUGUGUGAAAUAUGUUUGGCACAUUCACUAACUUAAAAUUUUAAUAAAUUUUUAUUUUAUUUAAUUAUUUUAAAUUUAAUUUUCAUUUUAUUGAAUUUUAUUUUUAGGCAUUUAUUAGUAUUUGGACAUUUCCUUAGUAGAUAACUAAAUCCUGAAGAGUAGAAUUAACAGUGACAUGCUGGAGGAUGGAAAAUUUUAUAUGAAAGAAGGAAGGUCAUCAACAGAUUAAAAUAGUGUUGGAA